rnacentral:rRNA from 1 species
ACKGCUCAGUAACACGUGGCUAACCCACCCUCAGGACGAAAACAACCCCGGGAAACUGGGGCUAACAUUCGAUAGGCGAAGACCCCUGGAACGGGUCUCCACCCAAAAGACGCUGGAAUCACGCUUUCAGCAUCGCCUGAGGACGGGGCCGCGACCGAUCAGGCUGUUGGUGAGGCAACGGCUCACCAAACCUAUAACCGGUACGGGCCGUGGGAGCGGGAGCCCGGAGAUGGGAACUGAGACAAGGUCCCAGGCCCUACGGGGCGCAGCAGUCGCGAAAACUUGUCAAUGCACGAAAGUGUGAACGGGCUACCCCGAGUGCCGUCCGCUGAGGAUGGCUUUUCUCUGCUGUAAGGAGGCGGAGGAAUAAGGCGAGGGCAAGUCUGGUGUCAGCCGCCGCGGUAAUACCAGCUCGCCGAGUGGUAGGGAUGAUUAUUGGGCUUAAAGCGUCCGUAGCCGGCCUCUCAAGUCUCUCGUUAGAUCCAGCGAUUCAAUCGUUGGACUGCGGGAGAUACUGUGAGGCUAGGGGGCGGGAGAAGCCGACGGUAUCUCCGGGGUAGGGGUAAAAUCCUAUAAUCCCAGGAAGACCACCAGUGGCGAAGGCGGUCGGCUAGCACGCGCUCGACGGUGAGGGACGAAAGCUGGGGGAGCGAACCGGAUUAGAUACCCGGGUAGUCCCAGCUGUAAACGAUGCUGGCUAGGUGUUGAAGCGGCUACGAGCCGCUUCAGUGCCGCAGGGAAGCCAUUAAGCCAGCCGCCUGGGGAGUACGGCCGCAAGGCUGAAACUUAAAGGAAUUGGCGGGGGAGCAC